rfam:Canis lupus familiaris chromosome 2, whole genome shotgun sequence.
GGGCUCACUUCGGCAGCAUGUAUUCUAAAAUUGAAACGAUACAGCGAAGAUUAGCAUGCCCCCUGCGCAAGGAGAACACGCAAAUUUGUGAAGCGCUCCAUAUUUUG